GACGAACGCUGGCGGCGUGCUUAACACAUGCAAGUCGAACGCAGUGGCGAACGGGUGAGUAACGCGUAAUCAACCUGCCCUUCAGAGGGGGACAACAGUUGGAAACGACUGCUCAUACCGCAUACUGAAGGAGGGGAUUGCGUCGGAUUAGCUAGUUGGAGGGGUAACGGCCAACCAAGGCGAUGGUCAGUAGCCGGGCUGGGGAGAUGAACGGCCAAAGUGGGACCUGGACAAGGGCCAGACCCCUACGGGAGGGAGCAGUGGGGGAUCUUUCGCAAUGGACGAAAGUCUGACGAAGCAACGCCGCGUGAGUGAUGACGGCCUUCGGGUUGGAAAGCUCUGUUAAUCGGGACGCGGUACCGGAAUAGAAAGCCACGGCUAACUACGUGCCAGCAGCCGCGGUAAUUC
rnacentral:rRNA from 1 species